rnacentral:miRNA from 1 species
AAUUAGUACCUGUCCGGGUAGAGUA